rnacentral:rRNA from 1 species
GACGAACGCUGGCGGCGUGCUUAACACAUGCAAGUCGAACGGUAAGGCCCUUCGGGGUACACGAGUGGCGAACGGGUGAGUAACACGUGGGUGAUCUGCCCUGCACUUCGGGAUAAGCCUGGGAAACUGGGUCUAAUACCGGAUAGGACCACUGCCUGCAUGGGAGGUGGUGGAAAGCUUUUGCGGUGUGGGAUGGGCCCGCGGCCGAUCAGCUUGUUGGUGGGGUGAUGGCCUACCAAGGGGACGACGGGUAGCCGGCCUGCGAGGGUGACCGGCCACACUGGGACUGAGAUACGGCCCAGACUCCACCGGGGGGCAGCAGUGGGGAAUAUUGCACAAUGGGCGCAAGCCUGAUGCAGCGACGCCGCGUGAGGGAUGACGGCCUUCGGGUUGUAAACCUCUUUCAGCACCGACGAAGCGCAAGUGACGGUAGGUGCAGAAGAAGGACCGGCCAACUACGUGCCAGCCGCCGCCGUAA